GACGAACGCUGGCGGCGUGCUUAACACAUGCAAGUCGAACGGAAAGGCCUGCUUUCCCUUGUGGAUUGCGGGUACUCGCGUGGCGAACGGGUGAGUAACACGUGAGUGAUCUGCCCCCAACUUGGGUAUAAGCCUGGGAAACUGGGUCUAAUUCCCGAUAGGACUGCAGGGUGGUGCCUGUGGUGGAAAACGAUUUUCUAGUGGUUGGGGCUGAGCUCGCGGCCUAUCAGCUUGUUGGUGGGGUAAUGGCCUACCAAGGCGGCGACGGGUAGCCGGCCUGAGAGGGUGGACGGCCACAUUGGGACUGGGAGACGGCCCAGACUCCUACGGGAGGCAGCAGGGGGGAAUAUUGCACAAUGGGCGGAAGCCUGAUGCAGCGACGCCGCGUGGGGGAUGACGGCCUUCGGGUUGUAAACUCCUUUCGACCGCGAGGAAGCCACCUGGUUGGAAGGGUGGUGACGGUAGUGGUAGAAGAAGCACCGGCUAACUACGUG
rnacentral:rRNA from 1 species